rnacentral:misc_RNA from 1 species
GAUGAAGAACGUAGCGAAAUGCGAUAAGUAGUGUGAAUUGCAGAAUUCAGUGAAUCAUCGAAUCUUUGAACGCACAUUGCGCCCCUUGGUAUUCCAUGGGGCAUGCCUGUUCGAGCGUCAUUUGUACCUUCAAGCUUUGCUUGGUGUUGGGUGUUUGUCCAUUCUCUUGCAGAGGGACUCGCCUUAAAGUAAUUGGCAGCCAGUGUUUUGGUUUUGAAGCGCAGCACAAGUCGCGAUUCAACGCUAUACGCCAGCUUCCAUAAGCCUUUUUCACUUUUGACCUCGGAUCAGGUAGGGAUACCCGCUGAACUUAAGCAUAUCAAUAAGCGGAGGA